rnacentral:tRNA from 1 species
GUGGCAGUAGCUGAGUGGUAGAGCUCCCGCUUCGUACGCGGGAAGGCCUGGGUUCCAUUUCCAGCUGCUUUC